rnacentral:rRNA from 1 species
GAAUAAAGAAUGGCAACAACACAGCUGGUCUCGUCCGAUCUCGGAAGCUAAGCAGGUUUGGGCCUGGUGUGUACUUGGAUGGGAGACCACCUAGGAAACCGGGCUCUGUAAGCA